CUGACAUCCAAAUCCUACCCGAGGGCCAGCCACUUGGAGGUUUCUUGCAAGAGAGCCACCUGGGCUGGACUAGGGACCCCCCCCCCUCCGUCUCCAGCUUGCCACACGCCUGGAUCCCCUCCCCCAAGUGGCCCCCAGGAAGUGGAGCCUGGCUCUGACCCACUUGUUAAGGAUGCUGUUUGCUUGUUUGCUUAUUACUUUGUGUGCUUGCAGGCUAUGCAAGCGUCUGAAGGUUGAGAACAACUUGCUUUGAGUUGGUUCUUCCAUCAAGUGGGUGCUGGAGCCCCAAGCCCGAUGGUCAGGCUUGGUGGCAAAUGCCUUUACCUGCUAAGCCAUUCAUUCCACCCACCUUGGUUUUCUUUUUAUGAGACGGUGUCCCAUGUAGUCCCGGCUGGCUUCCAACUAGCUAUGAAGCUGAGGAUGACAAAGGCUGGGGUCGCAGGUGUAGGCUGCCACUCCUGGCUAUGCCGAGUGUUGGGGCUUGAGCUGUGAGAUGAGCCAGGACUCUCCAAUCUGGGCUGCCUCGUACCCCUUUAACGAAACUGUAAAGCCUGUUAACUUUUUCUGUCUACCAGGCACUCAACUAAGCCUGCUGCAAAUAAUGCCCCCGUCAAAACUUGGGGGAGAUAGGGAAACCAAGUCACGGGGAGGGGAAAUGACUUGGUCCCAGAGGCGGAGUUACAAAAAAGGCAGGUCCAGAAUGGUGGCUGUGGUGCAGGCCUUUAGUCCCAGAACUCCGGAGGUGGAGGAAGGCAGAUCUCCGAGAUCCAGGCCAGCCUGGUCUACAGACAUUCUGCAGUGUGAGGCAGGAGGAUGGAGUUUGAGGCCAGUUUGGUCUACUUGAAACCUUGUCACAAACAAGCAAGCCAGCAAAUAGGCCAAAUUGCUAUCUUCACUCUGCCGUAAUGAAGACGAGAGCGCCCUACCAAGAGGGACAGAGACGGGAGGGACAGGCACAAACCCUGGGGUCUGUUGACAGGAGGUGUCCCUCCUAAUCCAGUUUCACUUCCCAUGGUCAGCCUCAGUCCAAAAAUGUUCAUGGAACAUUCCAGAUAUAAAUAAUUCAUAAGUUUAAAAUAGCAUUGUAAACAACAGUUUUUUAACCAUGC
rnacentral:lncRNA from 1 species